UACGUAGGGUGCAAGCGUUGUCCGGAAUUAUUGGGCGUAAAGCGCACGUAGGCGGCUUUGCAAGUCGGAUGUGAAAUCCCUCGGCUCAACCAAGGAAGUGCAUCCGAAACUGCAGAGCUUGAGUACCAAAGAGGAUCGCGGAAUUCCCGGUGUAGAGGUGAAAUUCGUAGAUAUCGGGAGGAACACCAGUGGCGAAGGCGGCGAUCUGGGUGGAUACUGACGCUGAGGUGCGAAAGCGUGGGGAGCAAACAGG
rnacentral:rRNA from 1 species